CAGCCCUUGACUUUGCCGAAGGUGCCGACCCCCAGCGUAUCCCCCAGCACGUAGUGGCCGAUCUUCACCCUCCCGUCGUGCUUCUGCUGCUUCUCGGCCAUCUUCGCCCCCCGGCGGAGGACCACAAUGCGCAGGGCCGGCACGCUCUGAGGAUGCAGGAGAGCUUUGCUGAUGUUCCUUCAGAGCUUGAAAUAGUUUUCUUCCCCAAAGCCAGUUUGGGAUAGCCGUACGAUAGCUGAGUGUUGGAAACAUGACCAGAAAUGGAUCAAGAAGGAGGAAGAGAUCAUACCUUCUUUCCAAGAUGGAUGCUGAGCACUUUCAAGCUGGCCAUUUAGAGAGUUUGUAACCAGAAAUCAAUCCAGGCAGAAAAAAUGUACAUCUACCUGUUUACAUCAUAAACCACAAACGCGUUUGCAUCCUGCAACAAACACCUGGGCAACAUCCAGAGGAGACAUUCCCAACGUGUUAACUACUGCCAGCGCUGGGAUCCUGUAACCACAGCACAUGGAGAUGAUGGGAACUCAGUUAAAUUAAGGAGAACCACCAAGAUUGUGAAACGUGGCAGCAGGACAAGAGCUGGUUGCAACACAGGCUAGACUUUAGGUCUGUUGGCCAAUCGAACACAUCUGAUGCUGGUGAUUGGGAUGCCAGAGACAGUUCCCUGACUGCUGAUCUACCCUGUGGGUCACUGAGGCACGUUCUUGAGGGCUGAUCCUCCUGGCCUGCACAAAUCUGCAUGUCCAAUUUCCCGAAUGGCAGAAAAUUCUACAUUAAGAUGACAUUUAUCAGCUAAUCUUUUAAAAGAAAUUAACUGGGUAUUUAUGAGGCUUAGACUUAGGGUAUCAUAGAAUCAUUAAGGUUGGAAAAGACCACCAAGACCAGCAAGUCCGACUGUCAACUGAUUCCCCACCAUGCCCACCAACUACAUCCUUCUGUGCCACAAUCUAACUUCUCAGUGGCACCAGGGAGAGCACAACCAAGCUCCUUUUGGAUCCCACUUGUAUCUUGUUCCCUUACUGCAAGGACAGACCCAAGCCCAACCCUGGCAAACAUUUCCUACCAGGGCAGCCACCACUGUGCAGGCUGGGUGAUGAGGCACCAGUGGGUGCAAGGAAACCCUAAAGCCCACAGGGGUCAGGGCUGGCAAUGCCCCACAUCCCUCCAUGCUGCUCAGCCCUUCUGCUGAUGUUCUGCAGGAGAGCAGCAGCUGAUGGUGCUAAAAAUACCCUUGGGCAGGGUAGCAGUGGUUCAGCACUGGGCUUCCCAGAAGAGUGCUGGUAUUUCAGCCUUGUGACUCCAGCUCAGGCCACUUGAUGAACAGCAUGCAACUUUGCUCUGAUUUCCCCAUUUGGUAGGGAACAAUCUCAGUAACGGAUGGAUAAGUCAGCAAACAGCAUAGUUCGCUUUCUUAUUUUAGGUCUCCCAUAGACAUAGAUAUGAAUGACUCUGAAAUAUAGGCAGCACCUGGUCCUUCCCUGCUGUCACAUUGUCCCCUUGAUGGAAAAGCAAAGGAGAUUCCUAUACAAGAUCCCUCUGUAGGUCUGAGGAGGCAGCCGUAAAUGUCCGACCAUAUGCGUGCCAAACAUCCAACCACUCUGCAACCUCACUUUGCCCAUUGCACGUGGGGCAAGAUGGGAGGGAUUCCCCAAAUCUGCAAGCACAUCCCAUAAAAUACCCCGGACACCAGCUGAGAGCACCACCUGUCAGUGGAGUGCUUUGUUCCCAAACCAGGUCCUGCUGGCACAUCCCUCUGACACACUCUACAGAAGAAAAAGUAAAACUAGGAACUUUUUGACUUCUUAUUUUGCAGAAGUGUGACCUUUCGACCUGAAUCACGAUGAGUGGUUAUGAGGAAGAGCUGCUCUCACUUCUAAAUUAUUGCCAUGCAAUGAGCAGGUUUCCAUGGGGUAGCUGAAGGCAUGUCCUGAGGUACAAGGGAUACAAGCAUCCCAUUCUUGCUCUACUUUGCACUAAAGGACUGGUCUUAGAGGAGCUUAUUCUCUAAAAAUGACCUGACUGGCUGAAUAAAACACAAUUUCUGUUUUAAUAUUGUUGUGUUAUGAAACACUGCAAUAGAGGCACAAAUGUGGGCAAGAACAAGUUUUACUGCAGACGCUUUAUCUGCUGAUAGAUUGUCCCAGUGCUGCAUUCCUCAUUCCCUGGGGGUCUGGUCCAGCUCAGAUUGGAAGAUAGUGAAGAUCUUGGGAGAUCUCCAGUAGUGUGGGUCAAAAUUCACUGAUUACAGAAAUGCAAUUGGUUCAGUUGAUCUGCAUAAAGAAAAAAACCACAGCCCAUAGUGGGAAUGUAGAGUAGGAUUGAGAGGAAAAGCUGAGCCCUAAUAGGGAGGCUGGUGCAUGGUGUAUUCAAUAAUUGCAUUUAUGAAUAAACAAUUAAGUAUUACCAAUGAAUCUCUUGCAUUUUAUUGACCCAGGCACAGAAGCUGCUUUUUGGCACUGAUGACUUGCUCAGUUCACGCUUGACAAUGGGGAAUUGUAGUGGCUGUUCCCUUAAGAAAUCAUCCAAGAUUGGGACUUAUUUGUGCGCCAUUGCUUGCAUCAAUUAACAGUACAAUCUUUUUGUUAUGAAAACGCAAACAUUAGUAGCCUGAGGAGCCUUGUAAAUGCAAAUAUAAAACUUUAAUUUCAGUAACCCCCACUUUCCCUUCAAGUACAAUAAAGGCUCUUUUUUUUUUUUUUUUUCAUUUGCUGUUACAACGACGGGUCUUUAUUAUUAUUAUUAUUAUUUUUCCUCUUUCUCUUCACUUUACAUUGAGUUUAACUCAGGGGAUUUCAGUAGGGAUAGUUUUCCAUCAGCAGAUAUGGGGUGGCUGCAGCCGGUGCUGGGAUCUGUGGGCUCCUUGGGGCAGGUCAGUGCCAACCAUAGGGAGGGGAUCAUGGCUGGGCACUGGGGCCAGCCUUGGGCAGGGCAGAAUUCUCACGUGAGGAUUCUUUCCACUCUCUCCAGGCAGCUGGAGAGCCUAAAUUUGGCAUCGUGUUUCUGUUGCGAGAAUGAGAAGGAGAGAGAGACCUUGAAACGUGCCCUUGGCCAUGGCCCCGGUUGGGUGACCAUUGCUGCAGGGAAUGCUUUGGGGUCAAAACUGAUGGUUUUACUGUGAAGUGGUAUGAAAGAGAGAGCUGCCUUCUUGAAAGCAAGGUGGGAGAUGGCACCUGAGUCCGUGAUGAAAGAAUUGGACAAAAACCCAAGGUCUGCUUUCCCCUCUCUUUUUUACACCACGCAUGUACAAGUAAGACAGCCGCUUUGCUUUCUUCCUCCCAUGUUGGCCCAAGUGUGCCUGGGUAUGUUUCUAAACAGAAAACCUGCCCUCAGCAAGGUGCAGUCUGCAGCUCCUCAGGUUCCC
rnacentral:lncRNA from 1 species